rnacentral:rRNA from 1 species
GUAGAGGAUGCUUCUGGGCAACGGCCGGUCUAAGUUCCUUGGAACAGGACGUCACAGAGGGUGAGAAUCCCGUACGUGACCGGCUCGUACCCUCCACGAAGCUCCUUCGACGAGUCGAGUUGUUUGGGAAUGCAGCUCUAAAUGGGAGGUAAAUUUCUUCUAAAGCUAAAUACCGGCCAGAGACCGAUAGCGCACAAGUAGAGUGAUCGAAAGAUGAAAAGCACUUUGGAAAGAGAGUUAAAAAGCACGUGAAAUUGUUGAAAGGGAAGCGCUUGCGACCAGACUUGUCGGCGGUGUUCCGCCGGUCUUCUGACCGGUCUACUCGCCGUCGGCAGGCCAGCAUCAUCUGGGGCCGCCGGAUAAAGGUUUGGGGAAUGUAGCUCCCCCUCGGGGGAGUGUUAUAGCCCCUUGCACAAUACGGCGUGCCUCGGGUGAGGUCCGCGUCUCGGCAAGGAUGCUGGCGUAAUGGUCGUAAGCGGCCCGUCUUGAAACACGGACCAAGGAGUCGAUUGUCUAUGCGAGUGUUCGGGCGUCAAACCCCUACGCGUAAUGAAAGUGAACGGAGGUGGGAACCGCAAGGUGCACCAUCGACCGAUCCGGAUGUCUUCGGAUGGAUUUGAGUAAGAGCAUAGCCAAUCGGACCCGAAAGAUGGUGAACUAUGCCUGAAUAGGGUGAAGCCAGAGUAAACUGUGGUGGAGGCUCGCAGCGGUUCUGACGUGCAAAUCGAUCGUCAAAUUUGGUAUAGAGGCG